GUGCUCUUCCGAUAUAUCAACUUCUGGAGAAGAUAAAACUUGAAGAAGUUACUGGGAGCUGCUAUUUUAUAUUAUGACUGCUUUUUAAAAUUUUGUUCAUGGAUCUAAUAAAAUCUAGAUCUCUGAUAUUUUUAAGCCCAAGCCCCUUGGACACUGCAGCUCUUUUCAGUUUUUGCUUAUACACAAUUCAUUCUUUGCAGCUAAUUAAGCUGAAGAAACCUGGGAAUAAAGUUUGAAACAAGGUUAAUAAAGUUCUUUGCAUAG